UAUCUGCAAUGGAAAGUUACAUCAAAAAUGAAAAGAAACCUCACUUCCUUCAUGAAGUGCAAAAACAUGAACAGCAGAACCAUCAUGGAAAACAGAAAUUUCAAGAAAUUCAAGAGAACUGAAAUGAAAAAAGUUACAAGUUAAUGUGGUGACUUCAGGAAUAUCCACGUUCGUAAACACCCAGUUCAGCUCCUAACCAUGUGCCUGGAUUCUUAUGGUUCCCAUGCCAGAAGCCUUCCCAAGUACGGGGAGUGAUAAGAGAAUGGCCUCAAAAUAUUCAUCCUUAAAACUGUAAUGGUGUUUGGCUGAAGGAAAGCUAAGUCAUGCGACUUGUAUGACUUUUCUCCCAUUAAGCCCUGCAUGGUUACUAAGACAGCACUUGGAUAUAGGUGAGGAACAAUAACAAAAAAUACCCCAGUAAUUAUUUUUUCAAACAUGCCUGACACAUUGUUCCUGUAGCACAAGCCAUAUGUAGCUACUCCAAAUACAUCAUCAUGUGAUAAAAAGUUGCUUGCUUUUAUAAGGAUCUCAAGCAUCCCUAAUCCAUGGCCUGCUUGGUGAGCUUAUCAGAAACCCUCAUCUGCGCAGGACUUGCUUUCAACAAGGAGUUCAAGCUAAGGCCAAAGGUGCAAUGUUUCUGGGUCAGCUACCACUUGGUCACUACAGGCCAAACACUGCCUGUCACUUCGCAGUUCUUACCCUGCACUGUAGCUGACCACUCUUCCAUGGAGGUGUGUGUAAGGCGACCUUCAGAUAUUAAAAGUGCUGAGAUUCAUGGCUUAUAUUUGCUCUGCCGGCAGCACCUGGAGUCUCAUCAAGCAACAUCUAGGUAAGGACAGAGCUCUGUGAAGAUGUGUGAUGUUCAUCCAGCAUCUGAAGUCUCUCAGCACCCCAAAGCUGCCGCUUCACACUACGUACUUCAGGCAGAUGCCAACAGAGCCUGCCCUCACAGCGUGCAGGGCUCUCAGCAGGAGGGCAGGCUGAGACUCAAAAGCUGCUCUCACUACCACUCGUUCUAUAGCCCUUAGAAACCGAGCUGAAGUCUUCUUAGUACUUGAACCCUAAUACUUUUCUGAGGUAGGGACCUCCUGCGCACGGCUGCCUCUGACGCACACCACUUCUGACGUUUGCUGGUUAUCUGCAGGGCACAGUUCAAGCCUUUGCUCUGCACCUCUAUCAGGCUCUCAGACUAUGGGAAAGCGAGAUUUUGCUCUCUGUGCAAUUUUUUUUUCUGAAAAGGAACACUUCAGCUGCAAGUUUCAGGACUGCAAAACAAAGUUCAAUACAGAAGCAGGAUUACAACCAGGAGGCUUGCUUCUGUCCUGCUGUGAGUAAGGCCGCAUCACCAAACCAAGUAACCAACUUUGAUGCUGAUUGUAAAAUAGUUUUUUGUUUGUUUGUUUUUUAAGUUGACAGGGCUAUAUUGUUAAUCAAUCCACAAGAACAACAUCUAAUAAGCCUCCUUUUGCAAUGAAAAUAAUUAUGAUUUUCAGUCCUCACAUAGCUACAGACAUUCUAAAGCUGAAGUGUAUACAAACCCAAUCCAAAGAGCUGGGAGCAGAUUUAUUGAGAGCCAUUAAUUAGUCAGUUCCUAUUUUCAAUGAAUACUUUGCUGAAUUCUUUUUUACCUCUUUGUUACCUGUUUGCAAUGAAUUGCCUUCCUAGCUGAACUGUUAGGUUGCUCUUCACCAGUUGGCUGGGAGGAACAUUUUAACGAGAGAAUGAUCUCCAUGGGUUAAACUAAGAAUAGAAUAAUGUCCAGAGGAAUUUAAACCUGUGCUAAAAAUAAGCAUUAAAUUCCCAGCUGUCUUUCAAACUCUAUUCAAACUGGGAUCUCAUGAGCUGCAGUCAGUGCACACUUCAAUUUUCUUACUACCAUCUACACUGUUAUUCUUCUGCAUCUUCACUGCAGCAGUAUCUGCACACUCCCUGGAGCUGACAAGCACUGAAGGGCUUGAGCACACAUCAGGAAAAGACUAAGUUCUAGCUACAAAUAACUUUGAUUCUUGCAGGUGUUUACUGGUUUAGCACAACACACACUGAAACACACGGUUCUUCACCUUAAAGAUAACUAUCUGCCAUGAUGUCUGCUGUGACACUAAUUGCAGUUUCUUCAGCAUGUGAUAAUGGUCAUUUUUCUCUUCUGUAUGCAUAGACAUGCAGACAUGUUCUGCUGCAAACUUCUUGGUCAACAUGGGUAAGUCAGUUUAAGAACCACCUCCCCUGAGAACAGCCCAGGCACCUAACUGGAUUAUUAGGGCAUUCACACUCUUCUAUUCCUUUACUGCCAGUCUGCAGGGUUGCUACAGGCUGUGGAACUGCAGCACUGCAUAGAUAUAAAUAAUAAAAUCACUGGAGCAUCAUAUCCACACAGGAUGUAUAGUUAAUGACUAAUGAAAUCACAUGUCACACUGUUCUUUAGACCAUAGUCAUGUGUGGUACAAUCCAGUCUGAUUAACCACGAGCACCUUUUCCACGUUCAGUAACGUGAGAACAGUACAUUUCAUUUUCACACAGUCUGAAUUCCUGAGUUGAUUUCAACAAUUACACAAGAAAGAUGGGAGCCUAAAUCCUAUUAAUACUGGGAGUGUGCGGAGACCUUUACUUUGCCUCUGGGAAAUCUCAAAGAUGUGCACAAAUUAUCCCUCUAAUCUCUGGUCCUGGGCAUCACUUUGCUCUAGAAAGGUAUGUGAGACAGCUGCCCUCCCCAUUCCUUCUUCAUGCAGACACACUUUAGAGGUUCUGUUAGCAACACUUUAAAAUCACCCAGGAACAGGAGAGAGUGGUGAGGGCUGGGGCUUGGAUGCCAAUCAGCUCACACAGGCAUUAAGUAGAUAGCCAGUGAAAUCUGCAAGACUGGAGGAAAGCAGUAGGGAUCUCUGAUGUAGACCACUUGAGAAUAGCUGAGCAAUGCAUCUCCAUCACCUUUUGAAACUACACGUAUAUUGCAUUCUAAAUACACCUGAUGAACUUUUUAAGUGCAUUCAUGGUAACGGUGAAAAGUAUAUAUUAAAUAUUAAAUCUGCAACUGAUCACUUACCUAUGCAGGUUCUCCCAUCAGGCCCCAGCUGCAGGCCUGGAGAAGGACAGCGACAGCGCACUUCCCCUUUCAGCACAUCACAGCCAUACUGACAGUUUGCCAUGGAGCAAGAAAGGGCACCUAGGGACAAAUAACAGAACACAUGUAGAUAAUGACACCGACCAGAAACUGAAGAUCACUGUAAUCUCUGGGGAAUUGAGACACAGUAUAGUUAUGACAGAAGUAAAGAAAACCUGUAGAAUUUCACAGGUAGUCAUUCAGGCUUUAAAGAGCAAACGCACGUGGUUAAAAGAAACAACAACAGAAAACAAAAAUGACCAUAACGGGGGGGAAAAGCACUACAACUGUAGCAAGUAGUGGAAUGGAAUACAGCCCUCAUGAAGAAAAUAAAUUCCAAUACAUCCUAUAACACAUCCUGGACAUUAUCGACAUUUUAAAAUAGGAGUAUCUUUAAUUAAAGGUCAUUUCCCUUCUCUCUCUCCAGACACUCAAAAUAUCCACUUUUAUGAGAACAAGUAGGAACCUGAUCUCCAGAGAGAUGACAGUACGAUUUUAUACCAGUCAGACAACCAACAUCUGCAGCUUUAAUGAUUUUACAUUUAUAAGGAUGUAAUACAGCAGAGCUGCAGGUGUCUUGCUGCAAUGAAAACGGCAAGCACUUGUCCCUGAAGGCCAAUUAACAGUGAUUUACUGCACUGGAGAAUGCUUCUGGGAAAGCUUGUAAUAAAACUAAUAAAAUUAAACUAUUUGCUCCUGGUUUGCUGAGACUAAUUUCAUUAGGG